GACGAACGCUGGCGGCGCGCUUAACACAUGCAAGUCGAGCGAUGAAACUUUAACAGAACCCUUCGGGGCGAAGAUAAGUGGAUUAGCGGCGGACGGGUGAGUAACACGUGAGUAACCUGCCUUAGACAUUGGGAUAGCCUCGGGAAACCGGGAUUAAUACCAAAUAAAAUCAUAAUGACACAUGUCAUAACGAUCAAAACUCCGGUGGUCUAAGAUGGACUCGCGUCCCAUUAGCUAGUUGGUAGAGUAA
rnacentral:rRNA from 1 species